AUUUUAUUCUCAGGACAGUAGUUGGACCUAGACACCAAGCCUGUUGAGGAUAUAGGUCCAAAAAAUCAUUAAGCUAGUGGCUUUCUCUGGGCAAAGGCCCAAUUGACUGUACGAAAAGAAUUAAAGUUGCCAAGUUGGGCAGGACUCACUCUGGAGGUUUGAGGCUUGCUUUUGCAAUUGUAAUUCUAGGGUUUAUACAUCGCCCUAUUUUCUCUCCGUUUACCACCGAAUAACAGUAUCGCAUACCAUCGAGAGCCAUGGAUUCUUUUUCGUCACCGUCAAUUGGAUCGGGAUCGUCUAAUAUGUCAACCUCGGAUCUCAUGGACCAGUUGAAGACUCAGCUUGCCCAGGCUUAUGCUGAGGAGUUCCUCGAGACUGUUAGGGGGAAAUGUUUUGAGAAGUGCAUCACAAAACCAAGUUCAAGCCUCGGUGGGAGUGAGAGUAGCUGUAUCUCCAGGUGUGUGGACCGUUACAUAGAGGCUACUGGCAUCAUUAGCAGAGCUCUUUUCAAUGCACCACACUGAAUUGAGUAGAAAGUUCUCCAGAAGAAUGCACCAUAUAAGAAGAUUUUGCUUUCAUACUUACUUGAAUCUCUAUCAUUUUACGAUGGGACAAUUUUUUCUUUGCAUUGAGUACUAGUUUAUGCUCAGCCAUGCUAAACUGUGUUCGACUCUGGGCUUGGCUUGGGCUAUUACAAUGUUAGUGGAUUCAGACCUGUGUUAUAGCAAUUGUUUUAGUAUUCCACGAACAAUAAAUUUUGCAACUAUGAUUUUAGAAUGCUAAAAUAAUUUACUAAUAGUAUGAUGAAGAAGUGUAAAAACUACAAUCUCAACCGAGAUAUAAAUCCUGUUAGCCAAAUUUUCUUUCAAUUGCUUUCUCCUAAUUAUCCCUCUUUUUUGUUUUUCAUAUUGAUUUAAGCCAUUUUCCACCUUAAGCCAAUUUGUGCUUCGCAUGCUGUAUAGUGCCUUGUUCAGAAUCAUCAAACUCGUCUUUCCAUCAAGCAGGGAGCCUGUUACAUUCUCAACGCUCAUGCUGAUUUGCCUCCACUGAAAAUUCCCAUGCAUUUCUGUCACCUUAAAUUUAGUUGUUAUUGUGCACCUGGUUAGCUUUUGAGGCAGCACUUUCUCUUCAACGGGUAUAAUGCUACCAAACUGCAUUACAUAGUCCCCAUGUGGCCAGAUAGUCUGUGCUGUAAAUGGCUUCCAGGUUGAGAGAUUAACUGCCUUGCCUGUCUUCUUGUCUAACAGCACCCAACUCAAUCUGAGGUCCUCCAUGAGCUCCUUGCAGUUAUCUGAUUUUUCAUCCAGAGUUGAUCUUUCACUGUUGUUGGUGUGACCAAGAUUGUCAUUGUCAAUAUCAGCAUAGCCAAGAUCAUCAUCAUCUUCCUCAUCAUAUGUGAGGUCCAGCAGUUGUAGAUUAAAUGGGCAAUUCAGAAACCAUUGCGCGCGUUCACUGGAAAUCAUGUAGCAGUUGUCAUCCAUGAGUUUGGGGGUCAAUACAUCUACAGCUUCAGGUAUGCCGUGUAGAACUCUGGAGAGGACGCAUUGGUUCUUGUAAUAAAUAUCUACGAGCGACACAAAAUCAGGAGGAGAAGUGCUAGUUUCCACUUUAGGAGAGCUGUGUUUGGCAGCUUCGUCAUAGAAUAUCAAUGGGUAGGAAUCAGCGAAGAAUUGAUCGAAAUGGCGGAUGAGUGAAGGCGAAAUGAGAUGCUGUGCCUGCGCAGUAGAAGGCCAUGUGGAGUGGCAUAGAUUUUCCCACAGCCGGUGGUGUCGAGCAAUGCCUCGGAGGUCAGAAGAGGUGCAAGCGAGGGAGGCCAAGGCUAAACCAUCGACACGAGACAUGAUAUUUGCCACAAGGUCACUGCACAUGCCCUGUAGAUGGCAUAUCAUAGGAUGGUCCGUUGUGGUAUCUGUGUUGAUCUUCGCAGCCAUCUACAAUUGCUGAAUUAGGCGUCUUGGGGUUGGAUAUGGAAGUGAAAUGUACAUGCAAGAAUUUCCCAUAUAUAGUUUGUAUAUGUUGACAUGUGGGUUAAAAGAAUUGUCAGAUGAGAAGAAUAAGCAGUGUGCCGUGUCCAAUAUCCAAAUUUUGCAGCGUCAAAGGGAUAAGGGCAAAGUGCAGGUCAGUUGGGAAAUUAG
rnacentral:misc_RNA from 1 species